AAUCCAUAGGUUAAUGAGGCGAACCGGGGGAACUGAAACAUCUAAGUACCCCGAGGAAAAGAAAUCAACCGAGAUUCCCCCAGUAGCGGCGAGCGAACGGGGAGGAGCCCAGAGCCUGAAUCAGCAUGUGUGUUAGUGGAAGCGUCUGGAAAGGCGCGCGAUACAGGGUGACAGCCCCGUACACAAAAGCGCAUGUGCUGUGAGCUCGAUGAGUAGGGCGGGACACGUGGUAUCCUGUCUGAAUAUGGGGGGACCAUCCUCCAAGGCUAAAUACUCCUGACUGACCGAUAGUGAACCAGUACCGUGAGGGAAAGGCGAAAAGAACCCCGGCGAGGGGAGUGAAAAAGAACCUGAAACCGUGUACGUACAAGCAGUGGGAGCACCCUUUGGGGUGUGACUGCGUACCUUUUGUAUAAUGGGUCAGCGACUUAUAUUCUGUAGCAAGGUUAACCGUAUAGGGGAGCCGUAGGGAAACCGAGUCUUAACCGGGCGUUAAGUUGCAGGGUAUAGACCCGAAACCCGGUGAUCUAGCCAUGGGCAGGUUGAAGGUU
rnacentral:rRNA from 1 species